rnacentral:lncRNA from 1 species
GUUUACAACAAUAUAGUUUUACAACAUGACAAAAAGGAAUUGUGUCUACAUUAUACAUAUGCUCAUUCAGGUGGUGGAAAAUUAAAAUGCCUAAACAAAGUGUCAAAUUGUUAAUGAAUCUGCUGCAGCUCAGAUAGGAUUUGAUCUUGGCAAUGUUCAAGCUGAUCUUGUCUUUGUUCAAAGCGAUCCAUCCGAAUCCCUAUAUCUUCGAUAGAUGAUGAAGGAGCUUGCUCAAUUGGGUGUGAUUCCUCAAAGGGACCAGUUGGAGGAGAUUGAUUACCCCUAAAGAUUUGUGUUUCU